rnacentral:tRNA from 1 species
GCAGUGGUGUUUUAAUGGUAGAACUCUUGUCUUCUACUCAGGAGACCCAGGUUUGAUUUCCGGUCAGUGCA